AGUGAACGCUGGCGGUAGGCCUAACACAUGCAAGUCGAACGGCAGCACAGUAAGAGCUUGCUCUUACGGGUGGCGAGUGGCGGACGGGUGAGGAAUACAUCGGAAUCUACUUUUUCGUGGGGGAUAACGUAGGGAAACUUACGCUAAUACCGCAUACGACCUACGGGUGAAAGCAGGGGAUCUUCGGACCUUGCGCGAUUGAAUGAGCCGAUGUCGGAUUAGCUAGUUGGCGGGGUAAAGGCCCACCAAGGCGACGAUCCGUAGCUGGUCUGAGAGGAUGAUCAGCCACACUGGAACUGAGACACGGUCCGGACUCCUACGGGAGGCAGCAGUGGGGAAUAUUGGACAAUGGGCGCAAGCCUGAUCCAGCCAUACCGCGUGGGUGAAGAAGGCCUUCGGGUUGUAAAGCCCUUUUGUUGGGAAAGAAAAGCAGCAGGUUAAUACCCCGCUGUUCUGACGGUACCCAAAGAAUAAGUACCGGCUAACUUCGUG
rnacentral:rRNA from 1 species